rnacentral:rRNA from 1 species
AAAUUGAAGAGUUUGAUCAUGGCUCAGAUUGAACGCUGGCGGCAGGCCUAACACAUGCAAGUCGAGCGGUAGCACAGAGAGCUUGCUCUCGGGUGACGAGCGGCGGACGGGUGAGUAAUGUCUGGGAAACUGCCUGAUGGAGGGGGAUAACUACUGGAAACGGUAGCUAAUACCGCAUAAUGUCGCAAGACCAAAGUGGGGGACCUUCGGGCCUCAUGCCAUCAGAUGUGCCCAGAUGGGAUUAGCUAGUAGGUGGGGUAACGGCUCACCUAGGCGACGAUCCCUAGCUGGUCUGAGAGGAUGACCAGCCACACUGGAACUGAGACACGGUCCAGACUCCUACGGGAGGCAGCAGUGGGGAAUAUUGCACAAUGGGCGCAAGCCUGAUGCAGCCAUGCCGCGUGUGUGAAGAAGGCCUUCGGGUUGUAAAGCACUUUCAGCGGGGAGGAAGGCGGUGAGGUUAAUAACCUCACCGAUUGACGUUACCCGCAGAAGAAGCACCGGCUAACUCCGUGCCAGCAGCCGCGGUAAUACGGAGGGUGCAAGCGUUAAUCGGAAUUACUGGGCGUAAAGCGCACGCAGGCGGUCUGUCAAGUCGGAUGUGAAAUCCCGGGCUCAACACGGAACUGCAUUCGAAACUGGCAGGCUAGAGUCUUGUAGAGGGGGGUAGAAUUCCAGGUGUAGCGGUGAAAUGCGUAGAGAUCUGGAGGAAUACCGGUGGCGAAGGCGGCCCCCUGGACAAAGACUGACGCUCAGGUGCGAAAGCGUGGGGAGCAAACAGGAUUAGAUACCCUGGUAGUCCACGCCGUAAACGAUGUCGAUUUGGAGGUUGUGCCCUUGAGGCGUGGCUUCCGGAGCUAACGCGUUAAAUCGACCGCCUGGGGAGUACGGCCGCAAGGUUAAAACUCAAAUGAAUUGACGGGGGCCCGCACAAGCGGUGGAGCAUGUGGUUUAAUUCGAUGCAACGCGAAGAACCUUACCUGGUCUUGACAUCCACAGAACUUUCCAGAGAUGGAUUGGUGCCUUCGGGAACUGUGAGACAGGUGCUGCAUGGCUGUCGUCAGCUCGUGUUGUGAAAUGUUGGGUUAAGUCCCGCAACGAGCGCAACCCUUAUCCUUUGUUGCCAGCGGUCCGGCCGGGAACUCAAAGGAGACUGCCAGUGAUAAACUGGAGGAAGGUGGGGAUGACGUCAAGUCAUCAUGGCCCUUACGACCAGGGCUACACACGUGCUACAAUGGCAUAUACAAAGAGAAGCGACCUCGCGAGAGCAAGCGGACCUCAUAAAGUAUGUCGUAGUCCGGAUUGGAGUCUGCAACUCGACUCCAUGAAGUCGGAAUCGCUAGUAAUCGUAGAUCAGAAUGCUACGGUGAAUACGUUCCCGGGCCUUGUACACACCGCCCGUCACACCAUGGGAGUGGGUUGCAAAAGUAGGUAGCUUAACCUUCGGGAGGGCGCUUACCACUUUGUGAUUCAUGACUGGGGUGAAGUCGUAACAAGGUAACCGUAGGGGAACCUGCGGUUGGAUCACCUCCUUACCUUAAAGAA